rnacentral:lncRNA from 1 species
UAUUUGUUCUGUAUGUAAUUUGUUGAGAUUCCCAAAUAUGAGACUCGUUGUCUCUGGCAGCCAUGAAGGCACAUCACUCAUAUUUUCCUCUGACAAGACCUGCUGCAGGAGCUCAGCUGAUGGCCCACAGCGUCAGGGCCAAAGUCUAGAAACAAACUACACACAUAAGAAAUCUUGAUUUAUGACAGAGAUUGAAAAAUGAUUAACAUUUCAACACGAACAUAAUUCCCUGUCGAGACCAGUUCUCAGAAUGUUGAACCAACAUGAUCCCAUAGUUUUACAUAUACAGUUCCUUUUUCAGGAAACCAAGGACAGUAUUUUCCCACUGCCCUGAAUAGAGUGACCAUAUUUUCCAUGGGCACUCAAACCCUUUUCUGUUUUAACUGGAGUGUAAUAUAGAAGAGAUAAGUAUAAUUUUUAUACUCUGUGUGACCCAUAGUUAAACUGGACCAUACACAGACUACUCACCAGUCGUCAGGGAGUCGAACAAGCAUCUCUGUGGACCAAACCGAUGACAUUUCUCCACACCUGCCAAAGGGAAUUGGGUUCCCACAUGCAUUUAGGAAAAAAGAAAGACCAUGUUGGGUGUCAGAUAUCAGGGGAAACUGCCCCUGAUAAUUCAAUGUGAGUCCUUUUCUAUUUUCCUUAAGUGUUGGCCAGUCUGAGAAAUGAAGGGAAAGAAUACAAAAGAGAGAAAUUUUAAAGCUGGGUGUCUGGGGGAGACACCACAUGUUGGCAGGUUCCAUGAUGCCCCCCAAGCCGCAUAACCAGCAAGUUUUUAUUAGUGAUUUUCAAAAGGGGAGGGAGUGUAUGAAUAGGGUGCGGGUCACAGAGAUCACAUGCUUCACAAGGUAAUAAAAUAUCACAAGGCAAAUGGAGGCAGGGUGAGAUCACAGGACCAGGGCAAAAUUAAAAUUGCUAAUGAAGUUUUGGGCAUUCAUUGUCACUGAUAACAUCUUAUCAGGAGACAGCGUUUGAGAGCAGACAACUGGUCUGACCAAAAUUUAUUAGGCAGGAGUUUCCUAGUCUUAAUAAGCCUGGGAGUGCUACGGGAGAUUGGGACUUAUUUCAUCCCUUAUUUACAACUGUAAAAGACAGA